rnacentral:rRNA from 1 species
GACAGAGGUGGCAAGCGUUGUUCGGAUUUAUUGGGCGUAAAGGGUCCGUAGGUGGUCGUGUAAGUCUGACGUGAAAUCCCAUGGCUCAACCGUGGAACUGCGUUGGAAACUGCAUGACUUGAGUACCGCAGAGGUAAAGGGAAUUCUCGGUGUAAGGGUGAAAUCUGUAGAUAUCGAGAGGAACACCAGUGGCGAAGGCGCUUUACUGGGCGGUUACUGACACUGAGGGACGAAAGCAAGGGGAGCAAACAGG